GGCGUUUUUCGCGCAGGCGGAGCUGGACCGUCGACUCAGGUAAGACUUCUGUUCGUUCACGAACAUCGAAGCCGUUUCGGGGUCGAGCCGAUCUGUGCCGUUUUGUCCGAACACGGUGUGCAGGUCGCCCCG
rfam:Pseudonocardia sp. EC080619-01 plasmid pBCI1-1, complete sequence.